rnacentral:rRNA from 1 species
GUAGGUGGCAAGCGUUAUCCGGAUUUACUGGGUGUAAAGGGCGUGUAGGCGGGCUUGCAAGUCAGAUGUGAAAUUCCAGGGCUCAACCCUGGAACUGCAUUUGAAACUGUAGGUCUUGAGUGCUGGAGAGGCAAUCGGAAUUCCGUGUGUAGCGGUGAAAUGCGUAGAUAUACGGAGGAACACCAGUGGCGAAGGCGGAUUGCUGGACAGUAACUGACGCUGAGGCGCGAAAGCGUGGGGAGCAAA